GACGAACGCUGGCGGCGUGCCUAAUACAUGCAAGUAGAACGCUGAAGAGAGGAGCUUGCUCUUCUUGGAUGAGUUGCGAACGGGUGAGUAACGCGUAGGUAACCUGCCUGGUAGCGGGGGAUAACUAUUGGAAACGAUAGCUAAUACCGCAUAAAAUUGAUUAUUGCAUGAUAAUUAAUUGAAAGAUGCAACUGCAUCACUACCAGAUGGACCUGCGUUGUAUUAGCUAGUUGGUGAGGUAACGGCUCACCAAGGCGACGAUACAUAGCCGACCUGAGAGGGUGAUCGGCCACACUGGGACUGAGACACGGCCCAGACUCCUACGGGAGGCAGCCGUAGGGAAUCUUCGGCAAUGGGGGGAACCCUGACCGAGCAACGCCGCGUGAGUGAAGAAGGUUUUCGGAUCGUAAAGCUCGGUUGUAAGAGAAGAACGGGUGUGAGAGUGGAAAGUUCACACUGUGACGGUAUCUUACCAGAAAGGGACGGCUAACUACGUG
rnacentral:rRNA from 1 species